UUUUUUUUUGUUUAGCUCUGCAAAAAUUUCUGCCCACAUCACCCGUUAAAAGCCCCCCAAAAAUGGUUUUUGACAAAACCAAAAAGAGACAAUAAAAUGUGGCAGAAAUUAUGGGUUUCCCACAUAGUGGGACCCAUACCCAACAAAUCUCCCCCUCCAACUAUGUGGGGAAUGCCUCCAUGCCGGAGGUCAAACAACAUGCUUCAAACUUUCCUCUUGGUAAGGCCUUCGUCAACAUAUCAGCACCAUUAUCAUUAGUGUGUAUCUUCUCAAGCUCUAACAGCUUAGCUUCAAGAACAUCUCGUAUCCAAUGGUACCUCAUAUCAAUAUGCUUAGAUCUAGCAUGAAAAGUUGAGUUCUUACCAAGAUGAAUAGCACUCUGGCUAUCACAGUACAGGACAUACUUCUCCUGAGUAAAACCAAGCUCAUGCACAAACUUCUUCAUCCAAAGCAUCUCCUUACACGCUUCGGUUGCUGCAAUGAACUCUAAUUCGGUGGUGGACAAUGCAACACACUUUUGCAGUCUCGAUUGCCAUGCCACAGCUCCCCCUGCAUAAGUGAUUAAGUAACCUGAAGUAGAUCUCCUCGAGUCAAUGUCUCCGGCCAUGUCUGAAUCUGUAUACCCAACAAGAACAGGUUUCUCAUUGCCGAAACAAAGUUUCAUGUUGGAAGUGCCACGAAGAUAUCUCAUAAUCCACUUCACUUCAUUCCAAUGCUCUCUGCCUGGAUUAGAAAAAAAACCGACUAACUGUACCAACGGCAUAAGCCAAGUCUGGUCUCGUACAAACCAUUGCGUACAUCAAACUACCCACGGCUGAAGAGUAAGGAAUUUUCUGCAUCUCUUCCUUCUCCUUUUCUGUGGAAGGACUAUGCUUAACACUCAAUCUAAAGUGCAUAGCAAAGGGAGUAUUCGCCGCUUUAGCUUUGUCCAUACUAAACCUUUGAAGUACUUUCUCAAUGUACCUCUCUUAUGAUAACUAUAAUUUCUUGGCCUUUCUAUCACGUGUCAGUCUUAUGCCAAGAAUUUGCUUUGCUGGCCCCAAAUCCUUCAUUGCAAAGGAUUUACUCAACUCUUGUUUCAACUUCUCAAUUCUAGAAGCAUUCUGACCAACAAUAAGCAUAUCAUCAACAUAGAGCAAAAGAAUAAUAAAAUCAUCACCAGAGAAUCUCUUAACAAACACACAAUGAUCAGAAGUAGUCUUCUUGUAGCCUUGCUCCCCCAUAACAGACUCAAACUUCUUGUACCAUUGCCUUGGAGCUUGCUUCAAACCAUACAAGCUCUUCUUCAAUCUGCACACAUAGUCCUCUUUCCCUUGUGCAACAAAACCCUCUGGCUGCUCCAUGUAAAGCUCUUCUUCCAAGUCACCAUGAAGAAAAGCAGUUUUCACAUCCAUUUAUUCAACCUCUAGGUCAUAACAAGCUGCCAAACUCAGUAUAGUUCUGAUAGAGGACAUCUUCACAACCGGAGAAAAUAUUUCUUCAAAAUCAACCCCCUUUUUCUGAGUAUAACCCUUGACGACCAAUCUAGCUUUGUAUCGUGGAGAUGAAGACUUCUCUUCUUGCUUCAACCUGUAAACCCACCGAUUAUUCAAAGCUCUUUUGCCCUUAGGCAGUUUCACCAAUUCAAAAGUAUGGUUCUCAUGCAAGGAUUGAAGUUCGUCUUUCAUCGCUUCAACCCACUGAUCUUUGCAUUCACUCUCCAUAGCCUCUUCAUAACAUUCAGGUUCUCCCCCGUCAGUCAAAAGAACAUAUUCAUCAGGAGAAUACCUGACAGAAGAUCGUCGAUCUCUGGAAGACCUUCGAAGUGGAAUUGCUGGUGGAGCUAUAGGUGCUUGUUGUUGAUCAUUCACAACAUCAUCCAUGGGAGUAUCAAAGUCACCUAUAGUCUGAUGGUCACCACUAACAUCACCAUGCACAUCAUCCUGGAUAGGAUCUGGUGAAGAGUCUAGGGGAACCGGAUUCACAUCGAUCAAGUCACCACUACCUUGUGAAUCCACUUUCUCCGUCUUAUCAAUGUCAUCAAUGGUCCGAUCCUCAAUGAAGACAACAUCUCUGCUUCUCACGAGUUUCUUCUGAAAUGGAUCAUAGAGUCUAUAACCAAACUCACCAUCUAGACCAUAACCAAUAAAAAUGCAUUGUCGAGCCUUGGCAUCCAACUUGGAUCUUUCAUCCUUUGGAACAUGAACAAAUGCUUUACAACCGAACACACGUAGGUGAUCAUAUGACACGUCUUUACCAAACCAAACUCUAUCUGGCACAUCACCUUUCAAAGGAACACUAGGAGACAGAUUUAUCACAUGUGUCACUGUAUUCAAAGCUUCAGCCUAAAACGAUCUUGGUAACUUUGCAUCUGACAACAAACAUCUGACUCUCUCAAUCAAUGUUCAGUUCAUUCUUUCAGCUAACCCAUUUAACUGUGGAGUCUUUGGUGGUGUUCUCUGAUGUCUGAUUCCCUGUCGUAGACAAUACUCAUGAAACGACCCUGUGUACUCGCCACCAUUAUCAGUACGAAUGCACUUCAACUUCUUCCCAGUUUCCCUUUCAACUGAUGCUUGAAACUGUUUAAACACCUCAAAGACUUGAUUUUUAGACUUCAAAGUGUAAACCUAUAGCUUUCUUGAACAAUCAUCAAUGAAAGUCACAAAGUAAAGUGCACCACCAUGUGAUCUUACUUUUAUCAGACCACAAACAUCUGAAUGGACCAACUCUAGCAACUCUGAUUUCCUAUGAGGAGGAUGGCUUCUAAAUGAAACUCUUUUCUGCUUUCCUGCUAGAAAAUGAGCACAAUUCUUCAGUGUAGCAUUCUUUAAACCCGAAAGUUGAUUCUUCUUCGCUAAACAGCUAAGCCCCUUCUCACUCAUGUGACUGAGUCGUUUAUGCCACAACUCAGUUGAGUUGUCAUUCAGUGUCACAUUCACCGUCUCUCGAGAAGUCAAAGCUUGCAUCAAGUACAAAUUUGAGCUCUUCUUUCCUCGAGCCACAACCAAGGAGCCUUUAGUCAGCUUCCACUGCCCUUCACUGAAGGUGUUACAGAAUCCCUCAUAAUCAAGCUUUCCUGUAGAAAUCAAAUUCAAACGGACAUCCGGUGCAUGUCUGACAUUCUUGAGAGUUAACUUUGUUCUAUUGUUACUUACCAAGCUAACAUCUCCCAUACCAAUAACCGAAACCAAACCAUCAUUACCCAUCUUCAAUACCCCAAAAUCACCAGGAGUAUAAGAUGUGAAGAAUUCCUUCCUCGACGUGACAUGAAGUGAUGCACCAGUAUCAAUCACCCAACUAGUCUCGUCGCAUGCUAGGUUGACCAAAUUCUCAUCACAAAUAACUAACAGAUCUUCACGAGUAACAGUAGCAACACGCUCGGAUUUUUCAUCGUCAUUCCGAUCGUGUUUAUCACCACCACCUUUGUUCUCUUUCUUCCACUUGAAGUAAUAUUUCUUGAUAUGACCUUUCUUACCACAAUGAUGACACUCAAGAUUCUUGUAUCUCGAUCUUGACUUGCUUCGGCUUUUAUCUCUACCCUUUCCAUCUUUGUCUCUGUUUCUCCCCCUGUUCUCGAUAACCAACACCUCGGACUGUGAUGUAGAACCCUGAGAUCUUCUUCUAACCUCUUCAUUCAACACACCACUCUUAGCCAAAUCCAAAGUAAUAAUACCCUGUGGGGCAGAAUUAAUGAGUGAGACUCGAAAGGUCUCCCAAGAGUCUGGUAGAGUAGCAAGCAACCAAAGUCCUAAAAUCUCGUCAUCAAAUUUGACACCCAUACCAAGCAACUGAUUCAUCACACUCUGAAAUUCACUAACAUGGUCAGCUAUAGACAUUCCUUCUUUAUAUUUCAGCGCCAUCAUUUUCUUCAGCAAAAACAACUUGUUAUUGCCCGACCUCGAAGCAUACAAGCUUUCAAGCUUCUCCCACAAUGUUCGAGCAUGUGUCUCUUGAUCAAUGUGGUUGUAAACAUUUUCUUCAACAAAUUGCCGAAUAAAGCCACACACUUGUUGAUGCUCAAAUUCCCAUUCUUCAUCAUUUUUCGAAUCGGGUUUUUGAGUAGUAAAGACCGGAAGAUGCAAAGCCUUCACAAACAACAAGUCCUUCAUUUUAUUCCGCCAAAGUUGAUAAUUUGUGCCAUUCAACAUAAUCAUCUUGCUCGUAUAAAUUUCCAUAAUUACCUGACACAAUAACCAAGCUCUGGUACCAGUUUGAUGGGAAGAAACCGAACAACCGAAACAAAGCGAAAGCACAACCGGUGUUCUUUCUCUCCUUAUAACUCCUGUCAAAAAUUAUGGCAAGCACAAUAGCACAAGAUAUGUUCUCUAGCAACCUUAAUCAACCACAAAUCAACUAAUGCAACCACAACAAAAAUAAAUAGAGACACCGAUAUUUUUACGUGGAAAACCCCUCUAAAUCAAGGGUAAAAACCACGGGACUUUAGAGUCCGAUAAAGAGCUCUACUAUCAUCAAAUGUUCGACUACAAGAUCACAAUAUCAAGCCUACAACAAGCAUUCAACUCCGACAAGGCUAACAAUAUGUAAUCUUUAGCAAAAGAGAGAAAAAUGAGAGAAUAUAACCAAAAACGCAGCUGCUGAAAAAUGGGUAUUUCCGACGCUACAAGUCUCGGAUGAAAAAUCCGACCGUACAAAGUCAAGAACACCUUAUCACCUAGCUGCUGUCCAAAAAUCAGCUCAAUCGAACCGCGGAUGAACCUUCGAUCGAAGAGUUGAUCACUGUUGCACCAAACUUGAAAAACUGAAAUUUUCUUCUCUCUUUCUCUCUGUUUUAAUUUGAGAUUUUUUUUUGUUUAGCUCUGCAAAAAUUUCUGCCCACAUCACCCGUUAAAAGCCCCCCAAAAAUGGUUUUUGACAAAACCAAAAAGAGACAAUAAAAUGUGGCAGAAAUUAUGGGUUUCCCACAUAGUGGGACCCAUACCCAACACGAUGCACUUUGGUGUGAUGUGUUCUACAAAAAAAUACCUGCAUUCUACUCAGUUCAUUGACAGUACGGGGACCGCACAUAAGUUUUCUACUUGGAGGGGAUUACUAACUACCCAAGAAUUCAUCAAAAAAGGGAUUAAUGGUGAAUUAGUGAUGGCAUGACAGUGAGAUUUUGGCAAGAUUGGUGGGUUGGAGAGAAAUCGUUAAUUCACUCGUCCUUUAUCUGAUUCUAAUCAAGCUGAUUGGAAGGUUGAGCAUUACUUAUCUGACUCGAAGACGUAGAGGCUCCAUGAGGUUCAAAACUUGAUGCCUGCUAAUAUAGUAGAGGAAAUAAAAGCGGUUCCUAUUUCUUCUUUAAGAACUGAGAAAGAUAAAUAUUGUUGGGGUUUGACAAAGGAUGAUCAAUUCUCAGUCUCCUCUGCUUAUAAUACGCUAUGUAAUAGAUAGGAGGAGGGUGAUUCUAGAGAGAAUUUGAUGUGGAUUUGGAAGCUUAAAUGUCCGGAAUGAGUGAGGUUCUUCAUCUGGCUUAUCAUCUUUAACAAAAUUAAUACUAAUCAAGUAAGAUAUAGAAAGAAUAUAGUGGCAGUCCCGACUUGACAACGGUGUGGUGAUCUAAUCGAAUCUACAGAUCAUAUUCUUAGAGAUUGUUUAGUGGCCAAAGAAGUCUGGAGUGUGGUUCAAGCUCUCUUACAAGAACUGAGUUUCUUCAAUAUGGAUUUGAAGUACCGGAUAAAAAACAAAAGUAAGUCUGAACAAGUUUGUUGCGUCCUUGGGGGAUCUUUUUUGUGACCAUUAUAUGGGGACUAUGGAAGGGAAGAAACAUAGAGAUUUUUCAAGGACAAAGUCAAUCUAACGUGCAAGUGGUGGGUUAUUUUAAAAGGCUCGCCUUGGACGUUUAUAAUGUUUGGAAGAAAUCUAUUACAUGCUUUGUUACUGUUGUGCGAUGCGUUAGCUGGAGGAGACCACCUUCAAAUGCGCAUACAUUCUUAACAUCGAUCGCAGCGUUCGAAUGUCGACACGAAGUGCUGCAGCGGGUGGCUUGAUUCGGGAUGAACAUGGUGGUUGGUUUCUUGUGUAAGAUUGGGAGUGCUAACAGUUUACAUGCCGAGCUUUGGGCUGUAAGAGAAGGAUUUCUAUUAGCUAAGGCGAAGGGAUAAUCUAAUAUGAUAGUUGAAAUGGAUUCGGGGUAAUGGCUUUGAAAGAUGGUGUGGUUGAUACUCACCCACUAGGCUCACUAGUUCGAGAUUGCAUGGAAUUUGUCAAGGAGAGUAGGGUGAUUGAAAUAAGACACAUACAUAGAGAGAGGAACCGAUGUGCAGAUCAUCUAGCGAACUUGGCACAAAAUCUUGACUCGGGAGUUAUUCUUUUAUUUGCACCCCUACACAACUUAUUUUCUUUGCUAAUUGAAAAUGCCAAAGGCAAAAAGAUUGCUAGAGUAGACUAGUUACUGUAAUGCUUUUCAUUUUGUAAUAAAAAAAAAUCAAUUGAAACUGACAAUGAACAUUAUAUUUUUACACAUCCAGAGAAGUUUGCCUGCAUCCCCCAAAUAAGGGUUAGAUAACAGUACCAAUAAAAUAGCAGUGUUUUAACUUUCGUCCUCAUUAUUGCAUUUUAAUAAUAGUAAUCUACACACGUUAAAAUACGUUCUUUCCUUUCAAGUCCAUGAUGGGAAAAAAGAGGAAACGAAGUGUGGUAGGGCCAGAGGAGUAUAUGGUUUUGGCUAAUCUUUUUGGUUACCCAAGGUGUCUACUAGUUCUAAAUUAAUCAUUUUCGUGCCACAAAAAUAAAACCAAGAUUAUUCCAAUAAUUACUUCGACCUCUUUAAGUGCUAAAACGUAGGGUUGAUAGACAGAAGCCACAUAUUAGGUAUGGUUGCCAAGUCUUGUAAUCAUCAAUAUGGCGUCAAGUCUCCAUCGAAUUCCAAUACAUCAUUCUAGUUCAACUGGGAAAAUCUCUCUGCAAGUCUUGUCACAAUAUUCCCAUGCCUAACCUAGAGAUUGUAACCCAAAGUAUGGUUUAUGUUUGACUAAGCUGCUAUCAACAUCUCUUGGUUUGGCACCAACCAAACCCUAUCUUUAAAAGGAAUUUUCUUUCUGCAAUUCCGAAUCUAUGGAUAUCAUCAUGAUACAUUCAAUAAAAGCAAAGGACUGAUAGUUAUCGGCUAGCUGAAAAUAAAGUUUGCCAAGUCGGCAGCUUAAUUUAUUGGUGUAUACGAAAUAAACCCAAUGUGAAAUUUGCAUCAUUAUUAUCAUUGCCACAUUCACGAUGUGGAAACUUAUGCAAAUUGAUACACUUGUUUUGCUGAUCCAUAAAAGGAAUAUUAGUAUUAACGAUCCAUCAACUUGAUUGUUUUUUAUUAGGUAUACUAAUAGUAAAAUUAUAAUAAUAAAAGUACACUAUUACAAGCGGAUUUAAAAAUUAUUAUGUCUUUAUUUAUUUAUUAUUUUUAAUACAAUUUAAAGAUAUUUGGUAAUUUUAAAAUCACACUUAUAAUAUUUAUUUUACUUUAUACCAUGAAAAAAAAACCCUUCUUUUAACACUAUAAUAGAUUUGAUAAAAAUAAUUUAUAUGAAUGAACAUUAAAUUCAACGGUUAAAUUAUUAAAAUAUUAAUCAUAUAAAAUAAUACGAAAUAGUGUAAAAUUAAGAUAAUUUUAAAUUAGUAUAAACGGAUCUAUCCCCUUAUUAUUAUUUUUGUAACACGGGGAAGUUACCGAGUAAUGUUACAAAGCCAAAGGAACUUGUCUACAAUGAGGAAGUCCAUUGAUGUCAUUGAACAGGACUGGUCGAAUUUUUGCUGGUGGAGAUCCAAAAUUUGGAGUCAAGGUUCUUUGUCGAAAAGAAAUUUAGCCAUAAAAUUAACCGCUCCAUUUGCCUCUUGAUAAAUGCGGGUUAAUCAGACUUCCCAUAGAAUAAACUCAAUAAAGCCUAUGUUGUUGUUGUUGCUUGACUUGUUUGCGGUGAGGAACUUAUCACAAAUUGACCACAUUUUAGCUUGCAAGGCUAAGCAGCUACCCAAGCUCCUGGUGUAACCUUUCAUGCAAUAUUACAACACGGCCGAAAGCCAUUUCAACAACCUUAUAUCCGUCACUAAUUAGCCUUCUCCCAGCUAGUACCUCAACUUCUUGGAGGUCAAUUGCACAAACUGUUGGUUUGUAUGGAAAUCUAAAUUAGAGAUAAUACGAAAACUCAACUUCAAUAAAGACAUGUUCUGAUCAAACAGUUUUCUCAAUGCUAAGCCCCCUUAUUAAGCUGUUGCCAAAUUAUUUCCCAUCUUACUUUCAUUAUUCCAACUCCAAAUGAAUUCAGGAAUAAAUCUCUCAAUCUAAUUGUAGAUGUCUUUUAAAAUCAUAUUAAAAAUGAUGAUGAUCACAUAUUUUGUAAGUUUCACUCUUGGUACUAAAAAGAAAACACUUACAAUUUCAUGCAAUCUCAAAUAAGUACCCAAGUCCUUCACCCUCCUAAACCCGAGCUUGGCACUAAUUUCUAUGGCAACGAUCUCAUUGAUACUUGAAGAAAAAUAAUUCGCAUCUUCUCAACAUUUACCCAAUUAACUUUGGGGAAAAAGACAUCAAUCAAUUCACAAUUAAUAUUUGUUUAUUAUGCCAGAUUUAAUUUUUUUUUAAUUUUGGUUUUAAUUACUUAUUAUUUUAAGUAUAAUCAUAUAUCACUUAUUAACAAAUUCAACAACCAAAUUAAACAACUUGAAUAUAUAAUAAAAAAUAAAAAAAUUGGCCUGUAUUUAAUGAGAUUUGAAAAUGGUUGAUGAAGUGGAGGCAUCCACAGUUCUAACUUUAAAUCGUUUUUAAUAUAACUAUAUGCAAGGUGGGAUAGCUUAGAUAUCUUAAAAGAUGAUUAAUUAUAAUUUAAUCUCAGCACGAUUUAUUAAAGUUAGGUCUAAAACAAAAAUAUCUACUCACCAUUAAUUGUAUUUAGAUUAAAAAAAAACAUAAGAUUAAUUAUUUGAAACGUGUAUGUCAUUAUUAAAGCAAAUAUAUAUAUAUAUAUUUAUUUAUUUAUUUUUAAGUAAGUCAUGUUGAAUUUAUAGUAUUAGGAUGAUAUUGGUGUUUUUAAUAAAUCAUUAAAAAUUUUCAUUUUAUUCAAAAUUAAUUUUUUUAAAACUGUAUUUGGUAAUUUUAAUAAAUUUUCAUUUAAUUUAAAUUUUUUAUAAAAAAAAAAUUUUGAAUUGAAUAAGUUGGUAGAUAGUUGGGAAAAAAUUAAGUUCAUUUUAUUUUUAGAAAGUUAAUUAUAUUUACUUUUGUAAAAAAAUUAAUAUAUUUAUUUUUUUAUCUCAAAACUAUCUAAACUAUUAUAAAACAUUAUAUUAAUAAUAUUAAAAUUAUGAAACAAGAAUUUUUUAAAUUUAAUAUUUAUAUUAUCAAAGGACUAAAUUAUAUAAAAACACUUAAGUUUUACUAACAAAAUGUACAAUUUUAUAAUAUAAAUUUAGCACUUGUAAAAUUCUUUGUUUGAUUUUUCAGUAUUUAAUUUAAUAUAUCAAACAACACCAAUUUGUAAUAAAUUAUGAAUUUAUUGAAAACGUUUUUAAAUAAAUAUAUAUUUACUAAAAUGAUUUUGUUUUAAAUCAGUUUUUAAUUUAGUAGAUUUUUUUAAAUAUCUUUAAAAACUUCUUCUUAAAUAAACUCUUUCUUUAAAUAGUAUUUUUGGAGGUGACAAUCUCGAAUAUGAACGGUAAAACUGACAUGAAAAAUACUAAAAAAUGUUAAAUUUAUAUUUUUAUAUUAAAAUAUUAUAUGUAUAUAUAUGCUCAUAUGUUAUUUAAUUAAUUUAGUUAUAUUAAUUUUAAAACUGUUUUAAAAUAAAUGUUUGGUUAGAAGAAAUAUGUUUUUAAAAAAUUUUAAAUUUUAUUGACUUGAAUGUAGGAUGCUUAAAAUCAUUAUUAGACACUCGUUUAAUAAAAAUUUGAAUUGUAUUACCCAACCUCUAAUAUUGUAUUUAAAAAACAUUAAUUUAAUAUAUGCUCUUAAAAUAUCAACUAAAAAAUAGGUUUUUAAUUAUUAAAUAUAAUUACUCUUAGGAGAGUACCAACAUUAAUGCAAUUAAGUUACAUAAUUGCUAAUGUUUCUCCCACUUAAAUUCAAGGUUUUCAGAAUUAGAUUGGUGGUCAAAUUGGUCAAAUCACCUAUUUAAUGGAUCAAUCAAUGCGAUUAAAAGAUCAUAAAAAUAAAAAAGAGAAAAAACUGAUUCAAUUGGUCCAUACCAGUUGGAGGGUCAACUGACCCAACCUCUUAUUCUUAAUCGAUAUCUCAAUUGAUUCUUGAUUGUACCGAUACGAUGGGCCAAUCCUGUAAAUGUGAGCAAGUCUAUUUGGACAAUACAUAGUAAUUGAAUGAAAAUGUAAUUACCAAUGUAGUAAUUACACUCUUUUAUAAUUACAAUAAAUUGUAAUUUCUUAUACGUGUUUGGCUGACAUAUUGUCAUUACAUCACAAUUCCUUAUAUCAUGUUUGGUAAUAUAAAUUGUAAUUACACAAUUACAUAAUUUACAAUUUGAAAAAAUAUUAAUUACUAUAAAGAUUAUUAGUAAGAUAAAAAAAAUUAAACAAGUAACAAGAAUUAAAAUCAAACUAUCAUAUAUUUUGUGUCAGUCUCAACAAGUAGUUGAUAAUACAAUUACUAAAAAAUAACAAUAGAAAAUAAAUUUUAUAUUCAAUUUUAUCUAAUAGUUUAAGUUCAUAUUUGUUUGGUUAUUCCCUUUAAGUUUUUAACACAUGCCCUUAUCAUUAUCUGUUGGUUUUUGGUCGAGUUCAUCAUCAUUUGAAUUUGAAUCUGCAUAAUUGAGAUUAUCAAGAUCCAUACUUCGAAAAUCUCCUUCUUUGAUGUAUUAUUCAAACUAUAGAUCAUCUCAAUUCUACAUAUGAUUGAAGUUAUGAAAUAUGAAACAUGUUAGUACAAUCUAACAUUGCUUUUUUAUGUUAUACUAAGGUGAUGUUGUUAAUAUAAGAAAAAAAAACUAGAACAACAAAUGUCUUCUCAAUCACAUUUUGAAGCAUUGAAUAUUUCAAAUUAAGUAGUUUGCAAGCUGUUUAUUGUGCUUCUAUCUAAAACUAUUCUUUCAAAUAAUAUCAUACAUCAUGAUAUAAUGUAAGAAAACAUUUUCUAUUUGGAUAAUUAGCAUGGACCUUAAAAUAUUUGGGUUCACAAUCAAAAUAGUUUGUAGCUUUAAUUAUAAAAAAACUUAUAUAAACUUAAUUUGAAGAAAGACUUAUGUAAUAAUCCGUUUUUUAUUGGUGUCGGAAACAAUGGUUUUGGAACCCCAUUUUCAACGAGUAAGUUUGUAAAUAUUAUUAUUUAAUAUUUAUGGAUUAGUAUAAAGUUUAAUUAAAGUUUGAUUAAAGUUUGAUCCUUUAAUUUUUCCGAAUAGAUAGUUAAUUAAUGUAUAAGGAUUAAAUCGUAAAAGUGAUAAAAGUUAUAUCAUUAUGAAUUUUUAUUUAAUUUAGGAACCAAUUAAACAAUUAAACUAUUUUUUAGUUGUGAAUGGUGGAUGGUGAUGUCAUCAUCCACUUAGUUUAGUUUAAUGAUGAUUAGAUUAAGAUUAAUUAAGGUUAUUUAGUUUUAAUCAAAGUAUAAAAGGAAAUUAUAAAGAAAAUAAAACCUAUUUCUAUCAUCUUUUUAUAAAAGGAAAUUAUAAAGAAAAUAAAACCUAUUUCUAUCAUCUUUUUCAUUCCAACCAUUUCUAAAGGAAGAAGAAAAACCUUCCAUCAUCCAAACUUUGUUUUUUAGAAUUGGUAAGCUGUUUUAAGUUUUUUUCUUAUAAUUUUUAUGUUUUUGAGAUCCUGAAAGCUUGAUUUAGCUAGCUUAGAGAUUAAUUUGUGAAACUGUUAAAGGUUACAAAAGUUAUCAUUGAUGAUUUCUUGAAAUUUUUGAUGUUAUUUGGUUAGAUUUUAAGCUUAAUAAUGAAAAAAAGGAUUAAUUUAUAAAAGGAUGAAAUUGAGAUCGAUUUUAAAAUCGAGACUCAAAUUUGAAAGUUAUGGCAAUUUUAGUUUUAGGAACUAAAUUGAAUUAAAUGUGAAAAUUUAGAGAACUUUUGUAAAAUAAAAUUAAAAUGUCAUAUGCAUAUAUUUGGAUGUUAUAGGAUAAUUGGAAUUGAUAAAUUGAAAUUAAAUUAUCGUAUAGAUCAAGAUUUGAAUCAAGUCGAGGAUUACAGGGGGAAAAGGAAAAUUGUUGAAUAGCCUCUACAAUUCAACUUGUUUGGUUGAGUUUUGUUAGGUAAGUUUAUAUGCUAUAGAUAUAUUUAAUUGUUAUGUGUACUUGAAUUAUAAUCUUUGUACAUGUAAUUUGAGUUAUUUACAAAAUGGUUUCAAAAAGGUGAGAUAGGGACUAAAUUGUAAAAAGAUGGUUAAAUGAGUUAAUUGUGCUCGAGUGAACAUAUUAAAGGAUAGAAUACAAUUGACAUGCCAAUAGGAUUAGUUGCACACUUGUAUAGGUUUGCACUUUGGUGCCUCUAGUGUGGUGUAGUUACCCGUGUAUCCGAAUUUAUUUAUUAUAGUUCAUCGGGCUACUAGAUUAAAUUUUAAAAGGGAAAUGAUGAAAUAAUGUUACAAGGUUGUGCUCAAAUGUCUAUAUGUAAAUGGAAUGAUGUAAAUGAUGUAUAUGUUCGAUGAUUUUGAUUAAUGGUACUAAAUUUGUAUUAUAUAGAUUGAAAUGUUAUAUGAUUCAUAUUUGAUAAUCUCAUCUUACUGUUGUGAAAUGUGAAGAUUAGAAAGUUGUUUAGUUAGCUAAUUCGUUAUGUUAAUUGUGAAUUGAGGUAAAUUUAUUUCUUUAAAACUUAUGAACUUACUAAGCAUUCGAAAAGCUUACUCUGUUGUUGUUUUAUUUUUUAUAGUUAUCCAUUUGGGGAAUCCUAUCAGUUGGAUCAUCUCAAAGCUCAUAUUAUCCAGUCCUCAAAUCGGUAGCUUUUGGAACGUUCUGUGUCUAGUUAUGUAACGACCCGAUAGUCAAGGGUGUUGGAAAAUGUAUUCACGAGACUUCAUUUUUGUAAAUCAAACUCAUAAACAUUUAUUAAAAAUAUUUACGAAGUUAAUUGUGUAGUUAAUUACGUUUUGGUUAAGUAAAUUUGCAUGAAUUAAGAGUAAUUAGGUAUAAGGACUAAAUUGCCUAUAGGGUGAAAGUUAAAUUAUAGAUUAAAAAAUAUUAAAAAGACUAAAGAAGCAAUUAAACCUUAUUUUAACAAGUGGAUAGUAUUAGUGAUUACAUGUGUAAAUUUAAUAAACAUAUAUAUAUAUUAAUAAAAAUAUGUUUAUUUAAUAUUUAAGUAUAUAUAUUAUAUUAUUAUUAUUAUAAUAAGCAAAUGAAUAAAUAAAUAAAAAGGCAAGAAGGCUAAACGAAAUAGAAAGAAAAAGAAAGAAAAGAAAAAGGGGAAAGAAAGAAAGGAGGAAGACAAGGCUAGGGUUUCAAAGUUUUCAAGUUCAAUUGGUUAGUCAAUUUAGUCUAUUUUUCUUAUAAUUUUUAUGUUUUUGAAUCCCGGUGCUAAGUACUACCCGACCCAUGUUAAAAUUUUAGCAAUUAUUGAGUUUUUAAAUGUUGAAUAAUUUUAGUAUUAGGGACUAAAUUGAUAGAUUUUUAAGCUAAAAAUGAAAAAGGACUAAAUUAUAGAAUAAAUGGUAAAUUUUGAAUAAUAGGGGCUAAAUUGUGAAAAUUUUGAAAUAUAGGGAUUUAAAUAAAAAUAGGGAGUUAAAUUUAGUUUAAAGUGAAAUCUGUGUGAAAAGAUAGAAUUAAUUGUAAAGAAAUAAAGUUAGUAUUGGUUUAGAGACUAAAUUGAAAAUUAGGCAAAUAUUGAGCAAAAAAAUUGAAAUAUUCAAAAUGAAAUUGAAUUGUGUUGUAUUGAUGAAUUUUAAUUGUUUUGAUUCCGUAGCUAACGUCGUACCGGGAUCUUCAACUAAAAAGGGAAAAGAUAAAGUCGAUGGGGAAUAGCUCGAAAUUUCUAAUUUGUAUUUCUAUAAUCCAAAUUUAGUUAUUAAUUGUUGUAUUUUGAUUUAAUGCUUAUGGUAAGCGGUUGAGGUGAGUAUUUGACAUUUUGGUAUUGAAUUGAAUUAAAGUUGAUGGAAAUUUGAUAUUGGAUAUUGGUUGUUUUUGAAAUGUGAAAUUAAACCCUAUUAAUUGUAUCGAGCUGAGUCGGAUAUAAAUGACAUGCCAUAGGAUAGGAAGAAUUUAGGGAUUUCAUCAACUUUGAGUCGAUGAGACACUGGGAGCCGAUUUACUUCGGUUUAAUCGAUGAGACACUGGGUGUCAAAUUACUACUUCAAAUUUAUUCGAUGAGACAUUGAGUGUCAAUUUACUACUUCGAAUUAUCUGAUGAUGCACUGGGUGCCAAACUGGUGUGUUGGUUAGAUCUAUGUAUCCAUUUGAGCCCGAGUUCGAGUCAUGUUAAUAAGGGUAAAUAAAUAAUAAAGUUUUAUAAUUGGUAUUGAAAUGGCAUGGUGUAAUGAACCGAAUUUUUACAGUUAUCAAAAAAAUGCAUUUUCGGGUCUCCAUUUCUGAAAAAUAGAUUUAUAAAUAUUUAUUAAAAAUAUUUACGAAGUUAAGAGAGUAAUUAAUUUAAGUUUAAUGAAGAAAAUUAGCUUAAAUAAAGGAUAAUUAGAUGAAAGGAUUAAAUUGAAUGAAGUGUGAAAGUUUAAUUAUAGAAUAAAGAAAAUUAAAAGAACUAAAUAAGUAAAUAAACCAAAAAGAGUGCCAAGUGUAUGGCAAAAAUAAAAUACAAGUAUAAUAAAUAUAAUACACAUUUGUAAUACAUAUAUUUAUUUGCUUAUUAUUUAAGUAAAUAUUAAUGUAUUUAUUAUUAUUAAAUUAAUAUUAUAUGAUAAAUAAAUAAAAAGUUGACAAAUGUAUGGUAUGUAUAGUGACAUGUGUGAUACUAAUAUACAUACAUUUGUAAAAUACGUGUAUAUUUACUUAUUAUAUAAGUAUAUUAUUAAAUUAUAUAUUAUUAAGUAAAAGAUAUUUAUAUAAUAAAUAAAUUAAAGAAAGACAAAUGUAAUAAUAUAUGUGUAUACAAAUGUAAAAUAGAUAUUGGAUAUUAAAUAGAUAUUUUAUUAUAGCUAUUAUUAAGUUAUUAUAAUAUAUAUAUAUAAAGUAAAAGGAAUAAUAAUAAUAAAAAGAAUAGAAAAAGAAGGAAAUGAUGAAACGAAACUGAGAGCAGGGGAAAGAAAGAAGGAAGGAAAAAAAAGAAAGAAGGAAAAAGAGAAAAAUUGGGAUUUCAAGGCUUGAAAGUUAAAUAGGUAAGUCAAUUUAGCCCUUUUUACUUAAUUUUGAUGUUUUGGAAGCUUUGGGACAAGGUUUUGAUGAAAUUAAGUGAAUAUUUUGAAAGUUAUUAGAUUUUUAAAUAUUGUUCAUGUUGAAUAAAAAGAUGAAUUAGGUGUUAGAUUGAUAGGAAUUCAAGUUAGAAAUGAAAUAAGGAUUGAAUUGUAAAGUAAUUCAUAAGUUUUAUGUUGUAGGGACUAAAUUGAUGAAAUUUCGAAAUUAGGAAAAUAUGCUGAAAAUUUAAUAGUUAAGUAUGAGUUUAGUUAAAAAUUGAGUAGAAAUAAAGUAUGAAUUAAGAUAGAAAAGUAAGUGAAUUUAGUUAGGAUUAAAUUGAAAUUAAAAGUAGAAAAUCAACAUUUUGCACUAAGACUAUUUUGGACAGUAGCAGUAGUCUAAAUUUUAAAAAUCACCAAAAAUUGUAUAAAUUGAAUUAGGGGAUGAAUAAAAUAUGGAAUUAAAGCUUAUUGAGUCUAGUUUCUUAUAGAGAAACUGUGUAAGCAAUUGAAUUGUAAAUUAUGAGAUAUAAUUAAUUUUGUGAGACAAUGUCAGAAUGAAUUCGGGUUCCCUUGUUCUGACUUUGAAAAAUCACCAAAAAUUGAAGAAAAAUAAUUAGAGGCUUAAAAUUAUAUUUUUAGAAUUCAUAAUGAGUCUAUUUUCAGGAGAAAUCAACGGUAAUAUUAUCCGAGUUCUUUACUGUGAGAUAAUUAAUUUUUAGUGAAAAAGGGUCAGAACUGUCAGACAGCAGAAUAGGGGUGAAUUUAAAGAAUAAACUGUACCUAAUGGCUAAACUAAAAAAUUUUGAAAAUUUUAUGGUAAGAAUAUAUAUGAGUUUAGUUUCAGGUAAAAUUAACAGAUUUUAAUUUGGAGUUCUGUAGCUCGAGUUAUAAUUAAUUUAGUGACUAUAACACAGAUGGACAGCUUGAAUAUUUAUAAAAGUAAAUAAUAAAAAUUAUAGAUAAUGUUACUUACAAGUGUGUUAUAUACACUAAGGAUGUGGAAUGGAGAGGAGGAGGAGGAAAAAUAUGUAUGAAUAUUCAUCUAGCAUGGCUAAUUUGCAUGUUUUAGGCUCAGGGACUAAAUUGAAUAAAAGUAAAACUUUAUGGGUAAUUUUGUAAAAAUGUCAGAAAUGACCAAAUUGCAUGAAAUGGAUUAUUUUAUUAUUUAAAUUACAAAAUUGAAUGAAAUUAUUAAUUUAGUUCAAGAUCGAGGGAAAACAUGUUUUAGUGAUUAACUUGAAAAGUGUUGAAAUUAUGGAAAAUUCUGAUAUUUUAUAGAAUUCAUGGAUUGUUAUCAAUAUGUAUGAGAAUAAUAUCUAGAAAUAAGGAUUAAAUUGCAAGAAUUUUAUUUUCCUGACCCUAAGGAUGAAAUCGUCAUUAAUUAAAAGUUUAGGGGUAAAAUGAUAAUUUUUCCUAGAUCAUUAAUUAAAUGCAUUAGAAUAUGAAAUGAAUGAAAAUGAUGAUCAAAUUUAUUUAUAAAAAUCUGGACGACUCAAAAAUGAGACUUGAUCGUGGAAAAUAAAAGAUAUCGGAUUAAUGAAGUUAUAAACACAAACAAGCAAUGAGGUAAGUUUGUGUAACUUGAAUUGUAUUUUAAAUACUUGAAAUAUGUGGUUAUGUGAUGAAAAUAUGAUUUGAAUGUUCAAUUCAUGAUAAUUGAUGAAAUAUUGCUCAUACUCGAUAUAAAUUGAAAAUAAAGCCUGGUUAAAUGAAAGGAAAAUUCGAUGGAUCUCUAAAAAGGAAUUGACGGUAAAAAGGAUCUAGCCCGGACGGGUGAUCCUAUUCUGAUACAGCCCUCUCGAAGAAUACGUGUAAAAUGGAUUUAGCCCGGACGGGUAAUCCGAAUUAGGGUUUGAAUUUGGCCUGGACUGGUAAUUCAGAUCCAAGCUCAUUAGAGUAAUUGUCAUUGUAGGGGAUUUAGCCUGGACUGGUAAUCCCACUGUAAGGAUGAGGUUCGCGGGAGUGUGCUCUCUGAUAUGAAAUGUGUAAGACCAUGGUUGAAAGAUACCAUGACAACCUGAUAUGAAAUGUGUAAGACCAUGGUUGAAAGAUACCAUGGCAACCUGAUAUGAAAUGUGUAAGACCAUGGUUGAAAGAUACCAUAGCAACGUGAUAUGAAAUGAAUAAGACCAUGGUUGAAAGAUACCAUGGCAACGUGACAUGAAAAGAAUAAGACCAUGGUUGAAAGAUACCAUGGCAACAUGACAGAAAAUGAAUGAGUAAGACCAUAGUUGAAAGACACUAUGGCAUCAUGUCAAAGAUAAAUAAGACCGUGGAUGGGAGAUGCUAUGACAUCUAUUGAACAAUUGAUAUUCAGGUAAUACUUAUCAGAUGACGAAUGGUUAUAUGAAAUGGUUGUGUGAAAUGUUUACAAGAACUGGUCAUAUGGAAAUAUAUGUACAAAAUAGUUGUAUGAAAUAAUUAUGAAGAUAAAUAAACGAAAUAAGUAUAAGUACAUGGAAUAUAAUUUAUGUCAAGUUUGAUAUAAACUAUUACCGGAAUAAAUAUACAUAAAAUAUAUGGAAAUGAUGGAGCAUGAAAUAUUGAUAUAAUAAAAUGAAUGAUAUAUGCUUAAGAAGAAACGGUAAGAGCAUGAUAUGUUUCAUGACAUGUACAUAUAUGAUUAUCUUUAAUAUGUUGAUACAAGGAAAUUAUGUAAGUUGAGACUAUUAUUAAACUCAAGUGCGAUACGUAGAGAAAAUAAGUAUAUCAAUGUUAAAUUUAGAUGAAAUGUGUGCAAGUAUACUAACAAUGAUGUUGUUUGACGCUUAGACAAGUGCCAAACUAUUGAUCGAACGGUAACAUGUUUAAUUAUAAGGAGCAUUUAAAUAGUAAGUACUUAGAUGAAAAUAAAAUUUAAGAUUUUGCGAAAUUUUUUUUAUAAUCCCGAUUUAAUUCCAGUUGGUUUCUAAUGUAUGUUUGGGGCUUCGAGGGCCCAAUAGAGAGAUGUUAUGAUUAUUUCUAAAAUAUAAAUAAUAAAUGACUCAGAAUUAUCUGAAAAUGUUCAGUAAACUCCGGUAAUGCCUCGUACCCUAUUCCGGCAAUGGAUACGGGUAGGGGGUGUUACACAUGGUAUGAGAAAUGAAUGUGAUAUAGUGAAUUGAAAAUAGAAUGUGAAAUAUGUUAUAAAUACAUGGAAUAUAUGAGUUAUAUACUCGUGAAUUGAAUAUGGAAUGGAUAAUGCCAUUGUUUGAAUAAAAUGUGAAUCAAAUUGUGAAAAGCUAUUUAUAUAGCAAGUAUGAGAAUUGGGAUACUGUGAAACAAAUGAAUUGUGAUAUGCUAUCAUGUAUGAAUUCAAAGAGUUUGCAUAUGAUAGUUGUGAUAAUUUUUAAAUAUUAAUAUGUGUCUAUAUUUUAAUUAUACAUUUGUAAUCUCGUCUUUAAAUAUUCGGAUUAUAUAAAUAUCACUGAGUUUUACUCAGCGUACGGCUUUGUUUUCCGUGCACAAGUUAAGUAUUUAACUUUUGAUCGUCGUGUAAUACCCCCUACCCGUAUUUAUUGCCGGAAUAGGGUACGAGGCAUUACCGGAGUUUACAAAUUAAAAUUUUUUUUACUCAAUAUAGCCCCUUUAUAGAUAUCUAACCUUCCUUGCAAUAUUAACCGAGACCAAUCCACAUCAACCAAUCCAAUUCAACAUAUUUUCAAGAUAGAUUCAUGCAUUUUUAUAAGAUAACCUCAUCACAUACCAAAACCAAGAUUUGUUAGCCAUAUCAAUGGCUGACCUUACAUUCGUAUCACAUUAACAUUUACUUUAUUAGCUUAUGCAUGCCAUUGAUUUCCAAAAUAAAGUUUCUUAAUAUACCAAAAUCUUGAAGUGUAUAGUGUGAUAUGUCUCCGACCAAAUCUAACCUCCGAGCUCUUAACACUACAAAACAUGGAAAAAGGAAAUAGGGUAAGCACAUUGUGCUUAGAAAGCUCAUGCAACAAGAAUUAUACUUACCUAAUAUUUUCAAUACAAUGCAAUAAACAUUCAAAUAUCCAUUCAAUGUAUUAUUACCCUAACAUGCACAAACUCAACAUUCAAGUUAGUACAAUAAUUUCCAUGUGUCAAUAAUAUAUAUAACAUGAUUGAUGAGCUCAUCAAUACCAUGAUUUCCAUUCCCUUAUUAUUUUUCCAUAUUUAUCCCGUUGAAUUUCUUGGAAUUUUCAAUAGAUUUUCAGAGAUACACUUUUAGUGUACAAUUUCCGGAUCCGUCAAUUCAUAUAAAUGUGCGCACAUUUCCAUUUCAGAGAGCACACUCUCAUGAACCUCAUCCUUACAGCGGGAUUACCAGUUUAGGCUAAAUCCCCUGUAAUAUAAACUCAUAGAGUAUUGUCGGGAUUACCAGUCCAGGCUAAAUCCCCUGAACGACAAAUACUCUAAUGAGUUUGGAUCUGAAUUACCAGUCCAGGCUAAAUUCAGACCCUAAUGCGGAUUACCCGUCCGGGCUAAAUCCAUUUUCCACAUAUUCUUCGGGAGGGCUAUAUCAAGAUAAGAUCACCUGUCCGGGCUAGAUCUUUUUUACCAUCAAUUCCUUUUCAGAGAUCCAUUGAAUUUUCCUUUAAUUCAGCCAGAAUUUCUUCCCCUUUUAUCAAAUAUAUCAAUGUUUCAUCAAUUUUCAUACAAUGAAUAUUAAAAUCAUAUUCACAUCAAUAACAUACAUUUCAAACAUUUAAGAAUAUAAUUCAAGUUACACGAACUUACCUCAAUACUUUUUCGUAUACACAAAUCCACUGAUCCUGAACUUUUUCUUUUCCUAGAUCUAGCUUCGUAUUUGAAUUUUCUGAAUCUAAAUAAAUAAAUUUAAUUAUCAAUUUAAUACAUUUCAUGUUCAUAUGCAACAUUCUCUAUAAUUCAACUAUUAUUUAUAGUUCAUUCAAACCUAUCUACUUGAGUUAUAGUCACUAAAUUAUUUUUAUCUUGAGUUACAGAACUCCAAAUUAGGAUCCGCUAAUUUUCCCUGAAACUAGACUCACAUAUAUUCUUAUCAUAAAAUUUUCAUGAUUUUUUUAUCCAAUAAGUACAAUUUAUUCUUUAAAGUCACCCCUAUUCUGUUGUCUGACAGUUCUGACCUUUCUUUACUAAAAAUUAAUUAUCUCUUCAUACAGGAUUCAAAUAAUGUUAUCGUUUAUUUUUAUUAAAAAUAGACUCAUUCAGGAUUAUAGAAAUAUAAAUUUAAUCCCAUAAUUAUUUUUAUUCAAUUUUUUAUGAUUUUUCAAAGUCAGAACAGGGGAACCCGAAUUCAUUCUGACAUUGUCUCACAAAAUUUAUUAUAUCUCAUGAUUUAAAAAUCCAUUUCUUACACCGUUUCUUCUAUGAGAAACUAAAAUCAAUAAGAUUUAAUUUCAUAUUUUUUUCAUCUUCUAAUUCGAUUUCUACAAUUUAUGAUGAUUCUUCAAAGUUAGUCUACUGCUGCUGUCCAAAAUUGUUUUAAUGCAAGCUGUUUAUUACCAUUUUUCCCCUAGGCUUUUAAUAAAUGAUAAUUUCGUCCCUACUCAAUUGAGCUGAUUUUUCUCAAUUAACACUUUAGUCUAUCACCUUAACUAGUUUACAAUCUUUGGAAAUCAUAAUUUCAUCACUAAACUUUAAUUCCAAACAUUUUCACAAUUAGGUUCUAAAAAUCAAUUUCUAUUGAAAUUACCUAAUAAAAUCAUCUUAUAAACAAAUUAAAGCUUCAAUUUCAUUCUAUUUCAUCAUAAACUUACAGCACUCAACCAUGGUGACUUUCAAUUUCAUCCAUGAAAUAAAAAACUAAUGAAUUUAAUAGUAGGACCUAGUUGUAAAAGUCUUAAAAACACAAAAAUUAUAAGAAAAAGGAAAGAAUUAACUCACUUGGUGUAAAAAUUAUGGAAUACCAGCUUAAAGAACCCCUCCUAUGGCGUUUUGGCUGAUUAGAAUGAAGAAAAAUGAAGAGAAAUCUAGAUAUUUCCUAUUUAGUCCUCUCUUUAUUUAGUAAAUUAUGCAAUAUUCUAAUUUUGCCCUUAAAUCAUCAAUUUUCCUGCUGAUUUCAUGCCCUUUCCGUCCAGCCCAAAUAAAAUUUGGGUCUAAUUUCCUUUUAAAUCCUUUCUCAUUAGACACUUAAGCUAUUUAAUCAUUCUAGCAACUUUUACACCUUUUCCAAUUUAGUCCUUUUCAUUUAAUUACCUACCCAAACGUUAAAAUUUUCUAACAAAAAUUUAAUACCACAUCACUAAAAUUUUAUAAAUAUUUAUAAAAAUAUUUCCUACUCAGUUUACGAGAUCAAGGUCUCGAUACUUUGUUUUUACCCAAUUCCUUCAAUAAUUCCUUUUUUUUUCUAACUAACCACUAAAUCGGUAAAAUUUUUCUAUCGAUAUUUUAAUACAAUUUUCCUAUCAUAUAAAUAUUAAUGCAAAAAUAUUAAUAUAAAUUUCUCUUUAAAUCAAAUUUGUGGUUACGAAACCACUGUUCCGAUAACCUUGAAUUUAGGCCAUUACAGGUUGAUUCAGCAUCCAACAACGAUCCCGAUCUCAAACGUGGUGAUGUUUAUCAUUUUGUGUCGGCAUGUACCUAGGGUGUCUAAAUAAUAGUUAUUUUGUGUUUUGAUUGUAAAUGGGGUUAUAAGUUUAAUAUUGGUUUACUAUAUACAUAUGAAUAUGUGUUUGUGUUUGAAGUUAUAGUAUGGCAAGUUAAAUUGAUAUUUAAGUAUUCAUAAACUAGGCAAAAUGGAUUAAAUUAGGUAUGUUGAUAAUUUGGACUUGAAUAAUGCUUUGAUGAUAUAAAUGUGAUACCAAUGAGGGUAUAUUGGUUAGACACCUAGGAUGGUUGUUUUGACAUGAUUUGAAUGUGUUUGAUUGUGUUUUGAACUGAUUAAACGAAUGAUUUUUGAAUUACUUAGUGUCCAAGCUUGCAGGGAACGGUAAACUUGUUGUUUAAGGUACAUUCUGAGUCCACACGGCUAGACACACGGGCGUGUGAGGCCAUUUUGAAAGGGCACACGGUCUAGCACGCAAGCGUGUGGCUUGGCCGUGUGACCCAAGUUAGAAAGUUACAUGGGCAUGGACAUGAGCUGAGACACAACCUUGUGUCCCUAUUUCGAAUGCCCACACGGCUUAAGAUACGGGUGUGUCUAUUGGCCAUAUGAGUCACACGGGCGUGUGAACCCUGCAGCCUUAAAAUUUUUUAAUAUUUUUCAAAAAAUUUCCUGAGUUUUCAAAUUAGUCCCGAUUUGUUUGUAACGCGUAUUUUGGGCCUCGAUGACUCAAAUAAGGGAUAAUAUAUAUGAGUUUGAUUAUUUUUUUAUAUGAAUAUUAUAUGAUAUAAAAUGUUUGUAAUUUAUAUUUGUUUGAUAGGUAAAAUCUGGUAAUACUCUGAAACCCUGUUCUAGCGAGGACAUGGGUUAGGGGUGUUACAAGUUAUGUGGCAUGUAUUUAAAUGUUAUUAAAUGUGUUUACUUGGAUGGAUAAAUUGGUUUGAGAUGUUUAACGUUUGAAGUGUGGAAUGACUAAAUGAAUAGUAUAAUAAUAAUGCUAUGGUAACAUAUAGUAAUACUUGAUCUAUCAUCCAAUUGAUGCUUUGAAUAUGUUUUGAUAUGGUAUGGUUAAAAGUGAUAAGAAUACAUGGUAAUGUGUUAUGUUAUAAUGAACAUUAUUUGAAUGGUAUUUUAAGUGUGAUAAGACAUAGUAAAAUGGAUGAUUAUGAACCAAGGACUUGGUUGAUUGAAUUGAUAUGGUUAGAUUGAUUUGUUGUUGCCAAAUUUAUGAAAAUGUUGGAAUGGAAGUUUAGAAAUAAUCAAAUGAAUGGUUAAACAUGUUUUUGGAUUGAUUUUGUGCAGGAUAUAAGUGUGUACUAUGCACCAAUUGAGCUAAUGCUUUGGCUUGGCAUGGAAUAGGUACCAAAUAGCCUAAAAUGUACCAAAACAGAGUCCAUGCCGAGAUGAGAAACUCCCCAUGCUGCAGCAUUAGCCGACAGUUUGUAACGUCCUGACGCUGAGUGGCCGGACGUCACAACAUGACAAAUUGUUUGGCGACGUCGCGACGUUAAUCCUGGAUUUUCAAAACUUUGCAAUUUGAUCCUAAUUCAUGCUUGGGUUAACAAAAGAGCUUUCAUAAGUUCAAUUAAGGCUCAUAUUUAGUUGUGAAUUGUAUUAUGAAUGUGCUUAAGUUAUAAAUGUUUAUUUGAUUGAUAUAAUUACUGUGUUUUUAUCGGUAGUUAUUCUGACAAUGAUUGUAGCAUAUUGUAACUCGGACUCGACGACCGAGUCGGGCGAGGGUAUUACAACUUAUGUUAGGUUAUAUCCAUUUUUUAUAACGCAAAAAUCAAGUAAAAAAUAAUAUAAAAUUGUUCAAAACUUUCAUAACGCUUCUUAUAAAUAAUAUUAUUUUUGUCAAAAUUUUAGAAAAUUAUUUUUUAUAAAUAAGUAAUGAUAAAAUAUUAUAACAUUUUUUAUGGAUAAGUAUAUUAUUUUUUUAUAAUAUAUAUCAUGGACACAUAAAUUAGUUAUGUUCAUACUUCUUGGCCGCAACAUUUUAUAAAUAAAUAUACUAUAACAUUGUUAUAACAUAUAAAUUAUUUUUUAUAAUAAACCUUUUUACCAUAACUUAAAAAAACAAGAUUUAAAUAAUAUUAUUCUUUUAUAACUUUAUGAAAAAUACACAUUAUUUUUAUAAUAUAAUAUUUUAAGAUUUAUAAAAUAAUAAUUUUUUUAUGAUAAUCAUCCCAAAUACUGAUACAUGUUUAUAAUAUAAUUUUUAUAACUUGUAUAAAAAUAAUUUUUUAAAAUUGAAUUUGGGUAAAAUUAAUUAUAUAAGUACUCCAAUUCUUACUCUCUCCCAAAAAAUUAAAAAGUAUAAUUGUAGCUUUAAUUACACCAAAUUCAAUAAAAGUCAUAAAUUACAAUAAUUAUCUAAACAUAUCAUUUUUGCAUAAUUGCAAGAAAUAAUAUUUAAACUCAAUUAUUACAUUACAAUCCAAACAACACCUUUUAACAUUCAAUUGUCUACAGCAUAAAUUUCGAAUACUCCUGACAGCCCCUCUUUGUAACACCAUAUAAAAGUUGUGUGGCUUGCAAACUAUCACUUUCCACCUUCACAUCAUUAGGUGUGAUGAAUUUGUUUUUUUGAUAAUUAGAGAUAGGGGUGACAUCGUUAAAAACUCACCUUAAUUUUUUAUUUUUUGUGCAAUGUAGCAAAUUACCCUUUUAUCACCAGGUCAAAUUAAAAAGUCAACACUCAAAAAGUUGUUUGGUAUAGGUGAGUAGGUGUGAUAAAUUUUAGUAAGAAUUUACAUUAUUUAGUCGAAUUUAAUACAAAAAAAAAUACUUAUUUUUUUAUAAAAUAAUAAAUAUUAUUUUGAAAAUAAUUUUAUUUUUUUAUAUAAAAUUUAAAAAAUAUUUACAGAAUUUGAAUCCAAAAUGUUAUAAUUUUAAUAGUUCAACCUCUCUGAUUUAAUUAAUCAUUUAUUAUUACAUCAGUUAGAGGUGAUCCUGCAUCACCUAUUCGUUGUCGGCUAAAAUAUCACUGAUUCAUCACCUAUUUCCAAUCAUCCUUGGCCGUCCGAUCCACCAUCAUAGGAUUCCGUAGAAAAGAAAAAGAACAGAAAACAAACCGGUUACAAUUAAAAUCACGAGCCACUCCAUGCCAGUUGUAACGAUAAAAGAGAAAAAUAAGAAAAGAUGGAAAUAGAAUAUGGGCCCACAAAAUCUCGGAGCUCUUAUUUGCCGAUGCCAACUCACCUUAUCUUGUUUCACCUCCACGCGCUAAUCUGGAUCUCGUGAACAGUCCAGCUUCCAAUUUCAACCGUCCAUGAAGAAGACUGGUAUUGCAAUCGUUUCGAGUACGCAAAGCUCUGAAAAACUCGCUACAUCCAACAAACACGUGGAUACGCUAAAAUUUGUUGUCGGCUUCUCAUUCGUUUUAGCUAAGUCCAGAGGAAUCUACCGAAAGGAAUGGAAUACCGGGGUGGAGAAAUUAAUUUUUUCUUUCCUUCUUCUUUUUCACAAAAGAAUAAAAAACACGAUAGUGAUACUCUGCACGUGUCAGUCACGAGCGGAGCGAGGGCUGUCCCGCGUGCAAAGCUAUGAAAAUAAUUUGGGUAAAUUUCACAAUUAGUCAUGAAAGUAUAGGUAUGUUUUCAUUUUGGUCAAAUUAACUAAAAAAAGUUACAAUUUAGUCAUUGAAUUAUUCAAAAGUUUUCAUUUAAAUAAAUGGAUUGUUAAAAUCAAUGCUAUAUAUGAUUUUUUCUGUUUGCAUUAUCGGCACUAAUCGAAAGUUUUAUUUCCCUUUCUCUUUUACAUUUCAACUUUUUUUUCAUGUCAAAAGUUUUCAUUUAAGUCACCGAAGUGUUAAAAUCGAUGUUGUAUGCCUUUCUCUUUUUGUAUUGCUUGCACCAAUUGAAAACUUUCCUUUCAUUUCUCUUCUAUUUCAACUUUUUUUUUCAUGGAAUAACUUUAGACGUCACAAAUUUACGAACAAAAAUACAAGUAAUUAUUUUCUCCGAUCUCCGACACUGAUCACCAAAUCAACUUGGAUCUAAUGUAUGUUCUUCUACUCAUAAAUGAGUGCUGAUCCACCAUACUAAUUGUCGAAUUGUCGCUUGGAGCUCACUAAUGAAACUUUUUUUUAAAUAACAACUUAAUGACUUAAAAAAAAUUAAAUAGUUCAGCGACUCAAAUAAAAAUAUUUGAAUAGUUUAGUGACCAAAUUGUAACUUUUUUAGUUAAGUGAUCAAAACGAAAACUUACCAUAAUAGUGACUAAUGGUGUAAUUUACCCAAAUAUUUUUCAACAUAUUAUUGAAAUUAAAUGGAUAAUAUAUGUAGAAGGCCCAAAUUGCCCAACCCAAUUUCAACCUAAACCAAACUAACCCUAGCCCAAACAAAAUCAGAAAAAAAAAACCUAGCCCUAUGUUCAGCUUUUGUACCUACUGCCACCAGCUAACCUCAUCCCAUUGUCCCAUCAUCUGCAAAACAACAACAGAGAACCAAAAUAAAACGCAAACAGUAGCAGACAAAACACAAAGAAAGAAAGAAGAAAAAACAAAAAGGGGCAGAAAAGAAGCAAGAGAACAAGAAAAUAGAUAAUAGCAAAUCCAUGGUAUUUCGUCUAUAAAGCCUGAAAUCUCAGAUUUUUUGGGUACAAAAAUAAGAAUAUUGUAAGAGGGGAAGAUAGAUUUUUUUGGGGAGAAAAAUAGAAACAAGAAAAGGGAUAAGAAAAAAGUGUAACCUCUCUGAGGAUUUUUCUUUAGAAAAAAAAAGAGACAGAAUACACAUACUGAAUAGCAAAAAAGAAAUUAAAAAAGUCAUUGAAAGGUGAUUUUGCUUUUUUUUUCUUUUUUUUCCUUCUUCAUUUUCGAUCUGCUUGUGAUUUUUUGUCAUAGAAAACGAAAAGUGUGUUUUGAAACAACACCGAUGAAAGCCCACACGUCUCGGAAACAUGGAGAUUCGGGCUAGGAUUGUUUUCUUUAUUAUUAUUUUUAUUUUCAUCAGAUUUUGCUUUGUUUUUUGGUAGAAUAGCAUAAGAUUUUAAGUUUUUUCUUUAAAAAAAAAAGAAAGAAAAAAAGGGAGAAGGAGUGCGCUUACCCGAUCUCCGUGGGCGUGUCCUCCGUUGACAAGGUCCGAUCGCCAUUGGUGCACAGUCAGCCAUCAAAUAAAUGAUGGUUUAGGCAGGUGUAUGUUGAAUCAAACACUAGGGGGAGGGGUUAAAGCUUCUGUUUUUAAAAAUAAAAAUGAAAGGUUGGUGAGUUUUGAGAAGGAAAUGAAUGGGAAUUAAACUUUAGCAUCAGACUUGGAAAUGAUGGAGUUUAAAGGAGGGGACCCACGCGUGUUGACCCAAUCCAAAACAUUGGAUCCGCAUUCUUUUGUUUCAAAUGGGUUAAUGGCGCAUUUGGUCCUCCUAUUUCGCGCCAAUUUUCAAUCGGCUUCUGUUUGUGCUUUGUUUAUUUUUUAAAUGUUCCCUAAUAUUUGUAUGUUCUUACAUUUUAGCCCACAGUGUACUGCUGCGUUUUAGGCUCUAGGAUAUUCCCAAUUCUAGUCCUCAUACGAUCGUGUGCAUCAUAUAUUGGCCUCAUAAACUAUUU
rnacentral:lncRNA from 1 species